rnacentral:rRNA from 1 species
UACGUAGGGGGCAAGCGUUGUCCGGAUUUAUUGGGCGUAAAGAGCGUGUAGGCGGCUUUGCAAGUCCGUUGUGAAAACUCGAGGCUCAACCUCGAGACGCCGGUGGAAACUGCAAAGCUAGAGUCCGGAAGAGGAGAGUGGAAUUCCAGGUGUAGCGGUGAAAUGCGUAGAUAUCUGGAGGAACACCGGUGGCGAAGGCGGCAUCCUGGACCGAUACUGACGCUGAGUGAGCGAAAGCCAGGGGAGCAAACGGG